CUGGGAUCUCACUGCAGUGUUAGACUGGAGGUUAUCCUGGGAUCUCACUGCAGUGUUAGACUGGAGGUUAUCCUGGGAUCUCACUGCAGUGUUAGACUGGAGGUUAUGCUGGGAUCUCACUGCAGUGUUAGACUGGAGGUUAUGCUGGGAUCUCACUGCAGUGUUAGACUGGAGGUUAUGCUGGGAUCUCACUGCAGUGUUAGACUGGAGGUUAUGCUGGGAUCUCACUGCAGUGUUAGACUGGAGGUUAUCCUGGGAUCUCACUGCAGUGUUAGACUGGAGGUUAUCCUGGGAUCUCACUGCAGUGUUAGACUGGAGGUUAUCCUGGGGGCCCAGGGGUGGGAUCUCUCUGUUCCACACCCAUCCAGGUAUUUACAGUGUGGGUUAAAGAUGAACUAGAAGACAGGGUUAGCCGGAGGGUCCUUUAAAUGGCAUAUUAGUUAAUAAUCUCUUAAAUGCUGGAGAUUGAAAACUACCUGACAGAAUGGUAACAGAAAGAAUGAUUAGUGGUGAAAGGUUACAAAAUAGAGACUAGCUUUACACUGACAUAGAGACUAGCAUUACACUGACAUAGAGACUGAC
ensembl:lncRNA